rnacentral:rRNA from 1 species
UACGAAGGGGGCUAGCGUUGCUCGGAAUCACUGGGCGUAAAGGGUGCGUAGGCGGGUCUUUAAGUCAGGGGUGAAAUCCUGGAGCUCAACUCCAGAACUGCCUUUGAUACUGAGGAUCUUGAGUUCGGGAGAGGUGAGUGGAACUGCGAGUGUAGAGGUGAAAUUCGUAGAUAUUCGGAAGAACACCAGUGGCGAAGGCGACCCACUGGCCCGAUACUGACGCUGAGGCGCGAAAGCGUGGGGAGCAAACAGG